rnacentral:rRNA from 1 species
GGAAUAUUGGACAAUGGGCGCAAGCCUGAUCCAGCUAUGCCGCGUGUGUGAAGAAGGCCUUCGGGUUGUAAAGCACUUUAAGUUGGGAGGAAGGUUCGAUGGUUAAUACCCAUCGGAAUUGACGUUACCAACAGAAUAAGCACCGGCUAAUUCCGUGCCAGCAGCCGCGGUAAUACGGAAGGUGCGAGCGUUAAUCGGAAUUACUGGGCGUAAAGCGCACGUAGGUGGCUUCUUAAGUCGGAUGUGAAAGCCCUGGGCUUAACCUGGGAAUUGCAUCCGAUACUGGGUGGCUAGAGUACGGUAGAGGGAGGUGGAAUUCCAGGUGUAGCGGUGAAAUGCGUAGAGAUCUGGAGGAACACCGGUGGCGAAGGCGGCCUCCUGGACUGAUACUGACACUGAGGUGCGAAAGCGUGGGGAGC